UACGGGGGGGGCAAGCGUUGUUCGGAAUUACUGGGCGUAAAGGGCUCGUAGGCGGCCAACUAAGUCGGACGUGAAAUCCCUCGGCUUAACCGGGGAACUGCGUCCGAUACUGGAUGGCUUGAGUUCGGGAGAGGGAUGCGGAAUUCCAGGUGUAGCGGUGAAAUGCGUAGAUAUCUGGAGGAACACCGGUGGCGAAGGCGGCAUCCUGGACCAAUACUGACACUGAAACGCGAAAGCCAGGGGAGCAAACGGG
rnacentral:rRNA from 1 species